AUAAAAUGUCACCAAAUUUUGUAUAGUUACAGAAAGGCAUCCUUUUCAAGCAACUUCAGCACCUCGUUCUGGUUGUUUAGCUUGGCAACAUCGAUUGGAGUCUUUCCAUCCAUGUUUGUGAGAGUCACAGCAGCACCGUUUUCCAGGAGAAGGGCGACACAGUCCUUUCGGCCAUAACCAGCUGCAUAGUGAAGGGCAGUGUUCUUAUUCUUGUCCAAAGCAUCCACUUUCGCUCCAGCCUCGAGGAGGACUUGAGCACAUUCAACCUCACCAUAUCCACUAGCAAAAUGCAAUGCCGUCCUCCCUUCUGAAUCAACUUCAUCCUUGUCAGCACCAGAUGCAAGCGCCUUUUUUAAUCCCUCAACAUCACCAGUGCUAG
rnacentral:misc_RNA from 1 species